CAGCCCAGCUUGAUGAAGAGCAGCAGGGUGGCGAGGAUUCCCGGCAGCUGGAAUGGAGAGGAAAGAAACCCUGGGGUCUGGCUGGAGACCCGAAACCGGCCCCAGCUGCAGUCAGGGAGCAGGGGGACCCUCCCGAGGCGGAACUUUACACGGGGCCGCAGGCUCUUCUGCCUCUGACUUCCUGAAGGAUUGGCCAUUAGAAGCCCAGGCAGGAGAGAGGGGAGGGCAGGAGAAGCGGGGCUGGGUGCCUCUCCUCUGCCCAUCCUGAGCCUCCUACCUACACACUGUGGACACACGGCCCCUCCUGGUUUCUUGUGGAUCUUCUUCCCAGUUCUUCUACCCAUCAUUGAAAGGUGCUGGGGAUGGAACCCUGGGUCCGCACACGCUAAACAAGAGCUCCACCACUGCGCUACGUCCCAGCCUGCAGCCAGUAUCCAACAGAAAUAGUCAUGUGACCGUCAGCUCCACCUGGGAGAGAUUUUUGUCCUUUGUUCCCUACUACGGCCCCUCCCACCUUGAGGAGAACAGUGUUCAGCCACCUCAGGGCCUUGAUGUGGUCCCACGUGAUGGCGCCCGCCUGGAAUCCCAGCAACAGGGGAGGCUGAGGCAGGGAGAUCACAAGUUCAAAGUCAACCUCAGCAACUGAGCAAGGCCCUGAGCAAUUUAGUGAAGCCCCUCUCAAAAUCAAAAAUAA